GGACCCGUGGUCCAAUGGUCAAGACGCCAGCCUUACACGCUGGAGAACCUGGUCCGAUUCCGGGCGGGUCCA
rnacentral:tRNA from 1 species